AUAUUCUGUUAAUACUCCAAUUGUUCUGUUCUCUAUUACCGAAGAACUCAAACAAGGAGACGAUCUCCAAUGGAAGAACACUUCCCUCUGCCCCAAUCCGCCAUGAAACAAGAUUUCGGGAAAUUGCAAUAUGGAUGCGAGCAUUACAGGAGACGGUGCAAAAUCCGAGCUCCAUGCUGCGACCAAAUCUUCACCUGUCGCCACUGCCACAACGAGGCCAUGACCUCGCUGAGCA